UAGGGAAUCUUCCACAAUGGACGCAAGUCUGAUGGAGCAACGCCGCGGGAGUGAAGAAGGUUUUCGGAUCGUAAAGCUCUGUUGUUGGUGAAGAAGGAUAGAGGUAGUAACUGGCCUUUAUUUGACGGUAAUCAACCAGAAAGUCACGGCUAACUACGUGCCAGCAGCCGCGGUAAUACGUAGGUGGCAAGCGUUGUCCGGAUUUAUUGGGCGUAAAGCGAGCGCAGGCGGAAGAAUAAGUCUGAUGUGAAAGCCCUCGGCUUAACCGAGGAACUGCAUCGGAAACUGUUUUUCUUGAGUGCAGAAGAGGAGAGUGGAAUUCCAUGUGUAGCGGUGGAAUGCGUAGAUAUAUGGAAGAACACCAGUGGCGAAGGCGACUCUCUGGUCUGCAACUGACGCUGAGGCUCGAAAGCAUGGGUAGCGAACAGG
rnacentral:rRNA from 1 species